rnacentral:rRNA from 1 species
ACGGGAGGCAGCAGUGGGGAAUAUUGCACAAUGGGGGAAACCCUGAUGCAGCGACGCCGCGUGAAGGAAGAAGUAUCUCGGUAUGUAAACUUCUAUCAGCAGGGAAGAUAAUGACGGUACCUGACUAAGAAGCCCCGGCUAACUACGUGCCAGCAGCCGCGGUAAUACGUAGGGGGCAAGCGUUAUCCGGAUUUACUGGGUGUAAAGGGAGCGUAGACGGAUGGACAAGUCUGAUGUGAAAGGCUGGGGCUCAACCCCGGGACUGCAUUGGAAACUGCCCGUCUUGAGUGCCGGAGAGGUAAGCGGAAUUCCUAGUGUAGCGGUGAAAUGCGUAGAUAUUAGGAGGAACACCAGUGGCGAAGGCGGCUUACUGGACGGUAACUGACGUUGAGGCUCGAAAGCGUGGGGAGCAAACAGGAUUAGAUACCCUGGUAAUCCACGCGGUAAACGAUGAAUGCUAGGUGUCGGGGAGCAAAGCUCUUCGGUGCC